AAUAAUCUCAGAAGUGGCUUGAGGCACCUCAACAAUGUAGGCAAAACUAGGUGGAGACAAAGGGCAUUUCGCAUGCGAGUGAGUUGGGAUGGAGGAAUCUGGGAGUUGAAAUAGGCACUGUAUCAGAGGUAGGAAGCUUUAGAGGACCACAGCAAACCUAGGGAAGCAGCAGAGGAGGAAACAGGAAAGGCCUGUGGGGAUUAUGGGGGCUGUGAGAGCUCAGCGACUUUCCAGGCUUUCCUCUCCCAGAAGAUGGGGAGAGGCCUUAGACAGGCCAUGGAGGUUUCACAAGGCCAUAGAGUGUCAAAAUGGUCCAGAAUUCCUUUCCCACUUAUUUCCUUGAAAAAAAACUCCACUUACAAACUGAUUUGAUUUAAUAAUCACAGGUAGCAGCCAACACAACCUCCCAUACAGAGUUUUAUUGAGGGGUUAUACAUGUUAUCCUCCCACACUUGGUGCCAUCUGCUCCUGCCAUGGGAAAGAGGAAAGGAUGAGGUUGGGCUGGGGGCUCAGGAACAGAAGGGGGCUGCUGACCUUCAAAUAAAGCCUGAGAGAUGAGCAGAACAAGAUGCAACAGCUGUUGCAAAAAGGAGCUAAAACCAGCUGCUCACUAUUGAUUUGAACUGGUUCUUGGAGACAACAGCCACCAAAUUUAGUGUAGGUGGACAGGCCUGUAUAGUCAUCCACUUCCUCUACCUCUUACAGAGAGUUUAAUACUGUCCCAGAAGUUUGCCACCUUAAAUAUCUACUCAUUUUGCUCUAUCCUAAAGCCAACUGUGCAAUAAGCAUUUGUAAAACUUAGGAAUAAAUGUAAUUUGAAAGAAAAUCAGUGGAGUAAGAAAUAUGCUACACGUAUUCCUGUGUGUAGCAAAAUUUGGCAGGGGAUCAAUAUACCCUAACUACCAGUGAAGCAACCCAUCCAACUGCAGAAAGAUGUCUCAAGGACUUCCCCUUAUAGGAAGAUUCAUCUUCCAGAAGAAGUUUUCAUCUGAUGCUGUAAGAAAUAGAGGAGGGAGAAGAGAAGAGAAGAGAAGAGAAGAGAAGAGAAGAGAAGAGAAGAGAAGAGAAGAGAAGAGAAGAGAAGAGAAGAGAAGAGAAGAGAAGAGAAGAGAAGAGAAGAGAAGAGAAGAGAAGAGAAGAGAAGAGAAGAGAAGAGAGGAACAUGUCUACAGUUCCAUGAAAUGCACAUAAACUACAGCUCUGUCUUCAACAGAAACCGGAGUGAUAGAGUAAUGUAUUAGGAACU